AUGGAGGGAAAACAACAAUGGGACAUGGUGGACCCUGGAUUCAAGCUUUGCGCUCCAGUUCUGAAGAGAGCAGCAGGUAGACCAAGGAAGAGUCGAAUCAGACCUCGCAGUGAAGGAGCUGGACUUGGUGCGAGGAAGCGUAAGUGCACAAGGUGUGGUGGGUCUGGUCAUUUUGGUAAGUAUUGUAAUUACACAGUAGAUCCAGCGUUCGGAGGGAGUUUCGAUGAAGGCUUCGAUGAAAAUGUUGGUCAGCAGCCGGUUGCCUCAAUAGAUGAUGAAAAUAAUGGUCAACAGCCGGUUUCAUCAGAUGAGGAUUUUGACGAGGUUCCAAAUGAUGAUGGUCAA
rnacentral:rRNA from 1 species